UACGGAGGAUCCGAGCGUUGUCCGGAUUUAUUGGGUUUAAAGGGUGCGUAGGCGGCUUAUUAAGUCAGGGGUGGAAGACGGUGGCUCAACCAUCGCAGUGCCCUUGAUACUGAUGAGCUUGAAUACACUUGAGGUAGGCGGAAUGUGACAAGUAGCGGUGAAAUGCAUAGAUAUGUCACAGAACACCAAUUGCGAAGGCAGCUUACUAAGGUGCAAUUGACGCUGAGGCACGAAAGCGUGGGGAUCAAACAAG
rnacentral:rRNA from 1 species